GAUGAACGCUGGCGGCGUGCCUAAUACAUGCAAGUCGAACGAACGGACGCAAAGCGUGCUUUUCUGAUGUUAGCGGCGGACGGGCGAGUAACACAUGGAUAAGCUACCUAUAAGACUAGGAUAACUUCGGAAAUCCGGAACUAGUACGCUAUAAUAGUAUGAUAUUCAUUAUUCAAAAAUAAAUGACUGUCUUACUCACACGUAUAGAUAGAACCGCGAUGCAUUAUCUAGUGGCUAAGGGAACGGCUUACCAAGUAAACGAUGCAUAGCGGACCUGAGAGGGUGAUCGGCCACAUUGGAACUGGGACACGGCCAAGACUCCUACGGGAGGCACAAGAGGGGAAUUUUGGGAAAUGGGCGAAAGCUGAACGGAGAAACGCGGGGUGGGUGAUGAAGGUCUCGGGAUCGUAAGAUUUGUUGAUUAGGGAAGAAGAGAGGUGGAGGGAAAAGUGCACAUCUUGACGGUACCUAAUCAGAAAGGGACGGCUAACUACGUG
rnacentral:rRNA from 1 species